AUUGAACGCUAGCGGGAUGCUUUACACAUGCAAGUCGAACGGCAGCGCGGACUUCGGUCUGGCGGCGAGUGGCGAACGGGUGAGUAAUGUAUCGGAACGUGCCCAGUAGCGGGGGAUAACUACGCGAAAGCGUAGCUAAUACCGCAUACGCCCUACGGGGGAAAGCAGGGGAUCGUAAGACCUUGCACUAUUGGAGCGGCCGAUAUCGGAUUAGCUAGUUGGUGAGGUAACGGCUCACCAAGGCGACGAUCCGUAGCUGGUUUGAGAGGACGACCAGCCACACUGGAACUGAGACACGGCCCAGACUCCUACGGGAGGCAGCAGUGGGGAAUUUUGGACAAAGGGGGCAACCCUGAUCCAGCCGUCCCACGUGUGAGAUGAAGGCCUUCGGGUUGUAAAGCACUUUUGGCAGGAAAGAAACGUCGCGGGCUGAUACCCCGUGGAACUGACGGUACCUGCAGAAUAAGCACCGGCUAACUACGUG
rnacentral:rRNA from 1 species